rnacentral:tRNA from 1 species
CGUGGCUUAGUGGUUAAAGUAUUCGGCUCACAGUUGCAAGGCCGUGAGUUCGAUACUCACCG